UACGUAGGGUGCAAGCAUUAAUCGGAAUUAUUGGGCGUAAAGGGCGCGUAGGCGGAUUGAUAAGUCAGAUGUGAAAUACCAAAGCUCAACUUUGGUGCUGCAUUUGAAACUGUCUCUCUAGAGGAUUGACGGAGAAAGGGGAAUUCCACGUGUAGCGGUGAAAUGCGUAGAUACGUGGAGGAACACCGGUGGCGAAAGCGCCUUUCUAGUUUAUACCUGACGCUGAGGCGCGAGAGCAAGGGGAGCAAACAGG
rnacentral:rRNA from 2 species